rnacentral:lncRNA from 1 species
CAAGUCACAGAUUAUUCCUACAUAUUUUUCUCUUUGCACUCUUCUGAACACGUUUGCCAAAGCCAUGGAUGCCAGUUUUAAACAAUAAUAUGAAAGCAUAAAGAACAUUUUGGCAUUUUCUGGGAAAUGGAACAAACUGAAGGUCAUCAUGGAUCAGAAAAGAAACAAGUACGUUAAGAAGAAAAGUCACAGUGAUUGUAAGAAGCAAAUCUACCUCUCAUUACAGAAUAAUAUUCAACGUGAUUCUGCUUUGCAUGUGGGAGGAUUCAGAAGUGGGUGAUAAAGAGGCUGAGUAAAUAUUGUGAUUCCUAUUAAGGAGGACUGGGCCAGGAUAAUGGAUGACAAAUCCAAGCUUCUGUAUUUUGUCACAGGUCUGGAAAAGAGAAACGUGAAGAGUGAAGAUGGCAUUCACUGGUUCAUAAAUCAAAAGACUUCUGACAUGUGUAGUCUGUGAGGGAGCCAAACUGAUCUUCCAAAUUCUCAAAACAGAAGGACUAGGCACAUGGUCACAGGAAUGGAAAUGUUAAAUUUAGUGAAUGUGUUUUUGGAAAACAACCUCAAAAUCAAGAUGAAUACGAUCUUCAAAGAACUUGAGAGAACUUUCUGGAAGUUUUGCUUCUGUAUCUUUCACUCUGCACAUCAUUGUUUAACAAGCACAUUGUCACAUUUUUAAUAAUUAGUUAAGCAUGGAACAAGUC